GAUUUAAUUUAAGGGCCACUUCAUUUGAUAACAACUGGCCCGGCGUCUUGUUGAUUCCUCUUGGGGCAACACGUUUCAAUGGCACAAUUCUCUCUCUUCUCUCUCUCUCCUUCUUCACCUCCUCCCGCUGCUGCGUUUCGUCUGCGACUUCACAAUCGCAGCCGACUUUUUUUUCAGUUAAACAGAAUUCAAGCUUCUUCUGAUUCUACUUCUACUUCCGCUCGUGAUUUGAAUCCGAAAGUCGUGGUAACCAGAGAACGUGGCAAAAACGGAAAGCUCAUCGAGGCUCUGGCAAAGCAUGGGAUUGGUUGUUUGGAGCUUCCACUUAUCCAGCAUGCCCAGGGACCUGAUUUGGGUAGACUAUCUUCUUUACUAAGUGCAGAUGCUGCAUUCGACUGGAUCAUCAUAACUUCACCUGAAGCAGGUUCUGUCUUUCUAGAGGCAUGGAAGGAAGCUGGUACCCCUAAUGUUAAGGUUGGUGUUGUGGGAGCUGGCACAGCUAGUAUUUUUGAAGAAGUAAGGCAAUUGUCAAAGCAUUCCCUUGAUGUGGCCUUUACACCAUCAAAAGCUACAGGAAAAGUUUUGGCUUCAGAGCUUCCAAAGAACGGGAAUAAAAGAUGCACUGUUUUGUAUCCUGCUUCUGCAAAAGCUAGCAAUGAGAUUGAAGAAGGAUUAUCCAAUCGCGGAUUUGAGGUUGUGAGGCUGAAUACAUACACAACGGUACCUGUUGAUGAUGUUGACCAGACUAUUCUGAAGCGGGCACUUUGUACCCCAGUUGUUGCAGUUGCUUCACCUUCUGCAGUUCGUUCCUGGGUCAAUCUUAUUUCAGAAUCUGAACAGUGGAGCAAUUCAGUUGCAUGUAUUGGUGAGACUACUGCUUCUGCUGCAAAAAGAUUAGGCCUGAAAAAUGUUUACUACCCAACACAUCCUGGACUUGAAGGAUGGGUUGAUAGUAUUCUUGAAGCCUUGAGAGCACAUGAACACAUCUAGAAAUUUUGAGUUAUUCAGUUUUCCUCCAGCUGGCUGACAAGGAAUAAUCAGGCAAGCUCAUCAACAAACAAGCCAUAAUUAUGACAGGAAAACUUGCAAGCGGCAGAACAAAAAGGUGCUGAGAUGUUUGACAUUGUGGAGACAUUGUAUCUCAUUGGCUGAGCUUUCCUUUGAGGUCACUAAAGAAGCUUUCUCUAUAUGUGCGUGGAUGAUGAAAACACUAACAGAUACCGGGCACAUGCAUUACAUGCAGUGUUAUAAAGCCCAAGCUGGUCGGUUUAACUAGGAACCCCUGUUAAAUCUAGUUUGAUUGAUAAAUUAAAUUCAUUUUAUUUAUUAGAUUAGAUUGAUCUGGGAUUGAGUGAUAUGAAUCAUGUGUUCAAUUAGUGGGUCAAUCAGACAAUCAUUUUGAUGUUAUAUUUGUAUCCUAUAAAAUGAACACUUUAAAAUUUUA